rnacentral:rRNA from 1 species
UUAACAGGAUUAGAUACCCUGGUAGUCCACGCCGUAAACGAUGUGCACUAGAUCGAGGUGCUUUUCACGGCUUCUCGGUCGUAGUAAAAACGUUAAGUGCACCGCCUGGGGAGUACGGUCGCAAGGCUAAAACUCAAAGGAAUUGACGGGGGCUCACACAAGCGGUGGAGCAUGUUGCUUAAUUCGAGGCAACGCGAAGAACCUUACCUGGGUUUGACAUGCACGGAUUAGUCCGGUGAAAGUCGGGUGACGCCUUUCAGGUGGAACGUGCACAGGUGCUGCAUGGCUGUCGUCAGCUCGUGCUGUGAAGUGUCGGGUUAAGUCCCUUAACGAGCGCAACCCCUGUCGUUAGUUACUAACGCGUUAUGGCGAGGACUCUAACGAGACUGCCGGUGUCAAACCGGAGGAAGGUGGGGA